UACGUAGGGUGCAAGCGUUGUCCGGAAUUACUGGGCGUAAAGGGCUCGUAGGCGGCCAACUAAGUCAGACGUGAAAUCCCUCGGCUUAACCGGGGAACUGCGUCUGAUACUGGAUGGCUUGAGUGUGGGAGAGGGAUGCGGAAUUCCAGGUGUAGCGGUGAAAUGCGUAGAUAUCUGGAGGAACACCGGUGGCGAAGGCGGCAUCCUGGACCAUUACUGACGCUGAUGAGCGAAAGCCAGGGGAGCAAACGGG
rnacentral:rRNA from 1 species